rnacentral:rRNA from 1 species
UGGGGAAUAUUGCACAAUGGGCGCAAGCCUGAUGCAGCCAUGCCGCGUGUGUGAAGAAGGCCUUCGGGUUGUAAAGCACUUUCAGCGGGGAGGAAGGCGAUAAGGUUAAUAACCUUAUCAAUUGACGUUACCGACAGAAGAAGCACCGGCUAACUCCGUUCCAGCAGCAGCGGUAAUACGGAGGGUGCAAGCGUUAAUCGGAAUUACUGGGCGUAAAGCGCACGCAGGCGGUUGAUUGAGUCAGAUGUGAAAUCCCCGGGCUUAACCCGGGAAUUGCAUCUGAUACUGGUCAGCUAGAGUCUUGUAGAGGGGGGUAGAAUUCCAUGUGUAGCGGUGAAAUGCGUAGAGAUGUGGAGGAAGACCGGUGGCGAAGGCGGCCCCCUGGACAAAGACUGACGCUCAGGUGCGAAAGCGUGGGGAGCAAACAGG